GACGAACGCUGGCGGCGUGCUUAACACAUGCAAGUCGAACGGAAAGGCUCCAGCUUGCUGGAGUGCUCGAGUGGCGAACGGGUGAGUAACACGUGGGCAAUCUGCCCUGCACUCUGGGAUAAGCCUGGGAAACUGGGUCUAAUACCGGAUAGGACCUUUCUCCUCAUGGGGUUUGGUGGAAAGUUUUUCGGUGCAGGAUGAGCCCGCGGCCUAUCAGCUUGUUGGUGGGGUAAUGGCCUACCAAGGCGACGACGGGUAGCCGGCCUGAGAGGGUGAUUGGCCACAUUGGGACUGAGAUACGGCCCAGACUCCUACGGGAGGCAGCAGUGGGGAAUAUUGCACAAUGGGCGAAAGCCUGAUGCAGCGACGCCGCGUGAGGGAUGACGGCCUUCGGGUUGUAAACCUCUUUCAGUAGGGACGAAGCGCAAGUGACGGUACCUGCAGAAGAAGCACCGGCUAACUACGUG
rnacentral:rRNA from 1 species